rnacentral:rRNA from 1 species
CAGUAGCCACGGUAAUACGUAGGUGGCAAGCGUUGUCCGGAAUUAUUGGGCGUAAAGGGCUCGCAGGCGGUUUCUUAAGUCUGAUGUGAAAGCCCCCGGCUCAACCGGGGAGGGUCAUUGGAGACUGGGAAACUUGAGUGCAGAAGAGGAGAGUGGAGUUCCACGUGUAGCGGUGAAAUGCGUAGAGAUGUGGAGGAACACCAGUGGCGAAGGCGACUCUCUGGUCUGUAACUGACGCUGAGGAGCGAAAGCGUGGGGAGCGAACAGGAUUAGAUACCCCAGUAGUCCCUGUCUCUUAUAA